rnacentral:rRNA from 1 species
GACGAACGCUGGCGGCGUGCUUAACACAUGCAAGUCGAGCGGUAAGGCCCUUUCGGGGGUACGACGAGCGGCGAACGGGUGAGUAACACGUGGGUGACCUGCCCUCAGCUCUGGGAUAAGCCUGGGAAACCGGGUCUAAUACUGGAUAUGACUCCAUGACGCAUGUUGUGGGGUGGAAAGCCUUGUGCGGCUGAGGAUGGGCCCGCGGCCUAUCAGCUUGUUGGUGGGGUGAUGGCCUACCAAGGCGACGACGGGUAGCCGGCCUGAGAGGGCGACCGGCCACACUGGGACUGAGACACGGCCCAGACUCCUACGGGAGGCAGCAGUGGGGAAUCUUGCGCAAUGGGCGAAAGCCUGACGCAGCGACGCCGCGUGAGGGAUGA